rnacentral:lncRNA from 1 species
UGAGGGGUCAUGGUGGACGCACGUGGGUUCCGGACAAAGAUAGACUUUCCUCUUUACUUCUUUGGUUGACUUCUGUUUGAGUUUCCAUGGGAGAUUGUGUCCUCUUCGGUGAAGCUGUAGGUUUUGUUCUCUUUGAAACCCUUUCUUGCAUACAUCGCAUAUGAACCUGUUUGUAGCCAUUAUUGUCUUUGGAGAUAAAGCUACCACUUCCGCAUCAGGAUCUAUUUGAUAAAUUAAAUUUAGUCACCAUUCAAGAUCUUGCAAUGUUAAUCUAUGAGGAGUAAAUCAAGAAAUUGAUAAAAGAAAAAAACGGUAAAGAACAAAGUACAAACUACAAAACUUUCAAAGUUCAAGAUAAAAUAUCACAAUGAAUCAAUAAGAAUCAACAGCAAGAAUAACAUAAUCACAUAUAGCGACAAAGCAAGCCAGAGCAAGGCACGACAAGAAGAUAGCACAUGAGAAAAAGAUCAAGCAAGGCACAACAAGAACAACAUAAUCACUUCAAGAUCAAGUCAAAGUCGAACAAAAAUCAUGUCGAACUUGAACAAAAAACAUAAACAAACUCGAACAAAAAAGAUGAAUAGAACACAAUUUCGAACAACAAACAACAAGAAUAAACUCGAACAACAAACACAUCAAGAUCAAGUUAAACGCAAAAAAAAAAAAAAAUCUCAAAAAAUUAGAGAUUUGGGUUAUUCGAGAUCGAUUUCUAGACGCCUCUGGUGGAGGAGAAUACUUUCAGUUUGAUAUCUGCGUGAUUUUUGGAUUUAUGGUUAAUAAAUCCAAUUUUACUUUCUCAAUCGUCGAGAUAUUCAGGGGAAUAGAAACAUUGAAGUAUACAAGGGAAAGUGUGAAGUGGGGCAUCGGGUUUCAAGAGUCAUUAAGUCUAAUAAUUUUCCAGAAAUACCCGCUCGGGUCCCGGGCUGGUUAUAGACCCAAAUCUGCUACUCACAGGUCCCUCAUCGUUAAUUAGACCCAAUAGAGUAAAAUUCUCGGUUCCGGUUUUGGACCUGAACCUGCAUUUUUGGUUCGGUUCUGAAUCGGGUCCUCGGAUCCGAGUAAAAUGCCCAGGCUUAAUGAGAGAUUUCACAAUCCGAAUUCAGACAGAAAUUUAGUUUCAAAAAUUUAAAACUCACCAUCUAUAUCCAAACAUAGACUUCUAAAUUUUACUUUUUUGUACUUAUUUCAAAUCAAAUCAGAUGAUAGAUGAUGCCAGAUUAUGAUUUCAUGAUAUAUAGUAGGAAUGUCUAAUCAACAAAUAAAUCAUCAUUUAAAGCGAUUCCCUUGUUACAUAUACAAAAUAUAUGUCACUGAUUUUUGAAAUUCACUACACCCGCAAUCAAUGUUUUAAAUAUUUCAGUAAACUUAUAUGCGGAUUUGGAAUAACCAACCAAAUGGCCAAAUGGUUCAAAAGAUAUAGAUCUAGUUUAUACAUAUAUAGAAAUCAUUAGUUAUUAAUUAUAAUACAUGAUAAUGAAUAAUACGGAGAUAUUGGAUGCUUCUGUUUGGACUAUACUUUAUAUUGGAAUAUAACCGCUACGAUUGGCGUAUUAUUAUUCACGUCGAAUAUGCUCAUAUAUUUUCCAUGUGCAACGUGGGAUGUGUAAUCUAGUUUAUAAAUCAAAUCUAGUAUUUAUACAUCGUAAGUAUGCAUUUGUAUAAUAUUCAGACACUAACAAAUAUUUUUCUUCGUUUUUUAGUAUACUAGAUCCUAACCCGUUUUAGGGAGAAACAAAUUUAUAAACGUAAAAGUCUGAAUGUUAUUACAUAUUUUUUUCGGUGUAAAUAAUUUUAUUAUAUAUAUUAUUAUUUAAAUAAAUUUUAAGUUAAUUUGUAUAUAGUGGAAUUUAUUUAUAUGAGAUACUAUAAUAAUGAACAAGACAUACAUAAUCAUAGGUUGAAUUUCUCAUUUAUUAAUAUUAUUUUAAAUAUAAAAAUGAUCUUAUAUAGAGUGUACUUUGACUUCCAUUUACAAGUUUAUAAAUUAUAUAAUAUUUAUGUAAUAUACUAGCUAAUAUAAUACAUAUAUUUUAACAUCCGUUAUAUUUUAAAAUUUAUCAUAAUUAGAUGUGGAGGUUUUAUCUGUUUAUGGGGUUGUGUUAUUUUAUUUUAUAUGAUUUUAGUAUAUCUUUUUAUCAAAACGAAGUUAGUAUACAUUUUGAAUAUUCUAAGUAAGUAAUCUAGAGUACAUAUAUGGUUAUGGAACUAGCCGUAUUUAAAAGUUUGUAUUUAUUUUAUGGAUUUUGAAAACCAAAGAAUCAAUAUAGAAAGUUGGUACGUAACAUGGUUAGAUUCUAAUAUAUAUAUAUAUAAAUAUAAGUGUAGAAAUGUAUCAAUUGAUUUACAAAUUUAUUUCAAGAAAACUAUCUAAUAUAGUCUAAAAUAUGCAAUUUUUUUUCUUGAAUAUCAUAUUAAAAAUAGGGAAAAAUAUUAAUUAUAAACUUAAAAAAGAAACUUUUUCAAUAAGUUUUGAACUAUUACCUUCUGAACGAAUGUGUACUUUGAAAAUGUGAGAGCUGUGAGGAUCCGUGUUGAGAUUUCAUGGUUAUCACGUUCAGAACCUAUAAGGUUUUGGGCAAAAAAAAAAACCUAUAAAGGUAAUUCACAAGAACGUUAAUUUAAAUAUCCACAUAUGAAUUAUACGAUUUUUUGGCCAAAAUAACUUCUUUUUUGGCCAAAUAACUUGUUCAUAUUAAAAUUCUUUGAAGUUUGUACCAACUUUUCUCCAAAUAACCGCAUCAUACCUCUUCAUCCAUUCCGUUUAACCCACUUUUUUAUAAAAUAUUGUUUGUCAAAAUGCAGAAUAAAAGUUGGCAUAUAAUUAAGAAAGUUGCAGAAGCAAUAAAUUGGCAUAAAAUUAAGCUAAUCGUUUAUAUUCAAACCAUAAUAGUUUAUACUAUUCAGUUAUAAACAACAAAUUAAGUAGCAAACUUCUAUAUAACAACUUAACAAAAGACAUAACCUAAUGAUGAGAGUCUCAAACUUAAUAGAGUUCAGUGAAAGAUCUAUUAUAUGUAGACUAUGAUUAUGAAAGCAAGAAAGGAAGAUAGCAAAAUUAUCACCUAACUAGUUAUAGGUGAGUAGGUUACAAUAAUAAGAUAUUUUCAAGAUCUUCCAAAUGGAUGAUUUUGCUCCGAAAACUUCAGUUCACCAACGUCGCCUCCACGACCACGGCCGCGAUUUACAUUUCUAACCAUUCCUCCAACUCCAAGAAAAUCUAACGUUAACUUGUCCGAGCCGCUCAUAUUUCCAUUGUUUCCGAAAUGAACAUCGAAUAUAUUGCCACCGGAUCCGCCGGCACCACCGCCAUUUACUGCGACUAGUGAGUUCAUUAGACCUUGAAGAUUACCGUUAUUAUCGUUCCCCAUAAUCUGCCCUCCUCCAAAAUCAUUACUUGACGAAGAAGCUAAGCCUCUGAAUAAAGCAGAAGGAUCGUUGCUUGUGAUGGAACCCAUUUGAGUAGCUUUCUGAAGCAGUGCCGUGGCUGACACGUUAGAACCCACGUUCAAGCUUUCUUCAGGGUGAUGAACAAGAACGUCGGAGCUAUAUAGAGAAGGAAGACUCGUCUCUGAGUUCUUGAUGUUUUCUUGAAAGAAUCCGAGGUUGAAGAAGCUGUUGUUGGUGCUACUUUUGGAGUUUAUGUUGUUGACCGGAUCAAACUGGUUUAGACCUUGAUGGUUCAUGAAACUCUGAUCGUUGUUGUUCGGUACAGUCAGCAUUCCUUGGCUCGAUUGGAUUAAGAAGUUAGGGUUUGACGUCUGCGGAACAAAGUGUCUGCUAUUUUCAGAAGAUGCAAUGUUUAGAUUGUAACCCGCGAGAGGCGAAAAUCCAGAGUUUGGAUGGCCACUCAAAUGGUGGUGGGAUAGAGUCCUGCCACCAUCCAGUCUCCCGUACAAUCCACCGGAGCCGGCGCCGCUGCUAGCAGCUUCCAUUGACGUGAAGCUCAAGGUAGGGUUUCUAGCAGUCUCUUGUAUCAAUGCAUCACAGAAAGCCCUGUGUGUAAUGUAACUAUCGCGUCUGGAAAAGAAAAAGCCCAAACAUUUUUUAGCUUAUUGGAUUAUAUAUAUGUAUAUGUAUUUUGCAAACUAUAUAUUAUGUAAAUGUUGCAUAAUCAUCAUUAAUGAAUGCUAUAGUUAUAAUGGCUACCAUUUAUAGGAGAGAAUGAUAGAAGAAUAUAAAGGUCGAGUUAAUUGCUACUUUAAUGAAAGACCUUCUUCAUUUAAUAUGUUGCAUAUGUUGACGUGAAUCAUCAUCAAUGAAUGCUAUAGUUAUUAAUUAUGGUUACUAUUUAUAUAUAGGAGAGAAUAUUAGAAGAACAUAAAGCUCGAGUCACUUGCUACUUUAAUGAAAGACCUUCUUCAUUUAAUGCAAAGCCCAUGAAUGUUAAUAUAAGUCAGUCACAUUCUACAACAACGUAUUUAACUCAAACCAUGAAAAUAAAGAAAGAAACCCUAGAACAGCAUUAAAGUGUUUAGCAGAACACUAUAAUGAAAUAAGUAACGCACUUUAACCAAACAUAUAUGUAUCUAUGUAUGCAUGUGUCUAGAGAGAGAAAGAGAUAAGACAGGGUCCACAAAAGAGGAGGAGUUUCAUAAAAAGGGGAACCUGCAAAAGUGAAGAAGAAGAAAACAAAAGUGGAAAAUGAAAAAACAGAUCUAACUCAUACAUGUGACCAAAUUUAGCAUCUUUUAAAUUUUCUCUCUUUCUCUUCACUGUGUUUCUCUAUUCAGUACUCAUCAACAACCAAACAAAUACAGUGAUAGAUCCUAUGUACAUAAUCACAAUAUACAUUUUAUGGGCGAUGUACUCGAGGUUCAAAUUCCAUGGCCAAAAAUAUAUACGAUUUCAGUUACAGUUCAUAUUAUAUAUUUGGUAUAUUUCAUGUAAAAUUAGUAAAAAAUGUAAGUUUUAUAUGCAGUGUUGAAUGCAGCUUUUUACUUAAAAUAGAUUUUCAAUACCAAAAGAAAUGAUGGUCCAUGGUAUCAUACUUUACCUAGAUUAUCUAGAUACUACAGACAUAUAUAUUAUAUAUACGUUUCAUCACUUAAUUAGCCCAAAUACGAACAAAUUAUUUAAAUGAAAUGGACAGAUACUAGUUACCUAGAGAAGAUGGUACCACAGUCACAUCGAUACUCUUUAGUACCACAGGUCUUAGAGUGAGCUUUCCAAUCCGAUUGAACAGCGUAACGCUUAGAACAUUUAUCGCACUUCCACUUCUUUUCUCCAUGUUUACGGUAAUAGUGCUUCUUAAUUCCGGUGAGGUCUCCGAGAGCACGUGAGGGGUCAUGGUGGACGCACGUGGGUUCCGGACAAAGAUAGACUUUCCUCUUUACUUCUUUGGUUGACUUCUGUUUGAGUUUCCAUGGGAGAUUGUGUCCUCUUCGGUGAAGCUGUAGGUUUUGUUCUCUUUGAAACCCUUUCUUGCAUACAUCGCAUAUGAACCUGUUUGUAGCCAUUAUUGUCUUUGGAGAUAAAGCUACCACUUCCGCAUCAGGAUCUAUUUGAUAAAUUAAAGUUAGUUACCAUUCAAGAUCUCGCAAUGUUAAUCUAUGAGGAGUAAAUCAAGAAAUUGAUAAAGACAUUAUAUAGAAAGAAAACCAAAUUUUACAUAUAUGUAAUCUAAUGACGGUCGUUAAUAAUGAAAAUACG